rnacentral:rRNA from 1 species
GACGAACGCUGGCGGCGUGCUUAACACAUGCAAGUCGAACGGAAAGGCCCUGCUUUUGUGGGGUGCUCGAGUGGCGAACGGGUGAGUAACACGUGAGUAACCUGCCCUUGACUUUGGGAUAACUUCAGGAAACUGGGGCUAAUACCGGAUAGGAGCUCCUGCUGCAUGGUGGGGGUUGGAAAGUUUCGGCGGUUGGGGAUGGACUCGCGGCUUAUCAGCUUGUUGGUGGGGUAGUGGCUUACCAAGGCUUUGACGGGUAGCCGGCCUGAGAGGGUGACCGGCCACAUUGGGACGGAGAUACGGCCCAGACUCCUGCGGGAGGCAGCAGUGGGGAAUAUUGCACAAUGGGCGGAAGCCUGAUGCAGCAACGCCGCUUGCGGGAUGACGGCCUUCGGGUGGUAAACCGCUUUCGCCUGUGACGAAGCGUGAGUGACGGUAAUGGGUAAAGAAGCACCGGCUAACUACGUG